CCCGGGUCUUGUACACACCGCCCGUCACACCAUGGGAGCGGGUUCUGCCAGAAGUAGUUAGCCUAACCGCGAAGGGGGCGAUUACCACGGCGAGGGUUCGUGACUGGGGUG
rnacentral:rRNA from 1 species